UUGACGUUGUUCUGCCAUCUCUCUCUUACACGCCACCAAUUGCUGCUUAAAAAUCGUGUGAUCAACCAAUUUAUUUGCCGUCUGCUGUAGUUGGGAUAAUUGUACCAAAAAUUGCUCUUUCACACUGUUCUCCUCUGGUGUUCCAUGUUGAAUGUCGACUGGCCUAUUGUCUCUCUGAACCAUUGGACCCCUCUCUCGAACACUGAUUGGUUCUCCCACCUGCUGGCUUGUUUCUCCUUGUCCCUAUGGAAGUGCCAAUAAAUUGCUCCUCGGUUUUGGUAGUACUAGAGCUGCUAUCGUCUUCCCUUUCUCCGGCAACGGUUGACUCAACUCAUAAACUAUUGCAGACUGUAUAUAAUUGGAACAUAGAAUCGUUGCAAUUCUACCUGACCUGCGCUUGUAACUCAACUCUGCAUGAAUUUUGGUGGCCACGUACGCUGCCCAAUUGAACACCAUACCCUUGAAGGAGCCUAUUGUCGCAUAUAAUAAUCGUUUAGCCAUAUACGUCAUAUGUCUAUUUAAUCCCAACCUCUUCUGAACAAAGCGCAUCCACUCCAUCAAUUCUGGUGUAAGUGCAUCUGCCGUCCGCCACCCUUGAUUCCUUUCUAGCGACA
rnacentral:lncRNA from 1 species